AAAGUAUCUCAGCUCUGCUGCAAACUUCAGCCAGGGAGAGAUGUGCUGUGGCUGCAAGGGGGUCAUGUUCUUCCAGCAAGCCAAGCUGGGGUCACCCUGUUUCCAUCUCCUGGCAUUUCAGGACAAAAAGGAGGUGAUUUUUUUCCAAGGAAGGGAUUGCAUGAAAAAACAGACUUAUUUUAAAAGGGUAUCCUGGUGACAAAUUCGGGCAUUUUCCAGCUGGGAAAUACUAGAAAGGAUGUUGCUUGCACUCUCAUAUUGGAAGACAGUAGUAAAGCAGAAACUAGUAUAUGAGUGCAGGACAAACCAUGUGAAGGGAACAAUGGUGCUGCUUCUGUAUGUGCUCCAGCUGCGCAGAUAGAGAAGAUCCAGGAGUGGCUGAGAGAACAAAGAAAACAACCAUUGCUGUCUCCUAGCUCCUCCUCUGGUUCUUCAAGGCUUGACAUGCCAAUAAGAUGACAGACUGUGACUUGAAAAAACAAAGAGGACAGAGAAGUUGUAAAAAAUCUCAACCAUUUUACACAGGAUUCAGCCCAUCCAAUGCUUAAGUUAUAUGGUCUUUUUUACCCAUGGAAGCAUUCCCACUGAAGUCAACAAUCAUGCUGACAUACACAAAAUUUGGUCACAUAGCUAAUAAUUGAAGGAAUAGGGCCAGGCUAUUUCAGAGAAAACACAAAGAAAAAAACCCAAGUGGGACUUUGGAAUACUCUUGCUUUUUGUGCCACCCUUUUCCUGUUAACACAGUGUAGUAUUUCUAAGGACAGGGACAGCAGUGAACAGGGAGGCCCUGAUCCAAUCCCUGGAACAUAUCUUCCAGGAAAGCAAAUUUAACAAAUCUUUAUUUAGAGAAAGAAAACAUUAUUAUCUCAAGGAACAAAGCAACGCACAGAAAUACCCACUGGAACAUGAGUGUGGACAAAUGCUAGUAUGACAUCUCAUCUUCCCCCUGGUUCCCCUCGUUUAGCUUUAGUGAUGACAGCAAUCCACUUACAGCAUGCACUAAGCCAUGACUAUCUUCUUUUAACUGUGCUCACUUGUAGUCAUACUGCCUUAUACCUCUCUAAACAGAAGGGAAACGGAUGCAUGCUUACAAAAAUUGUCUUUGACAAUUUUAAAUGGAGUGAAUAAUGAAUUGGUUCUGGCUCAAAAGCCAUGGAAGUCUUUCUCCCUUCCCCAGCCCCUUACUGAACACUCCCUCUGUGAUCUGAACAUUAACUCUUAAGGUCUAUUGACUUAACAUGAUUCAGGGGUUGCUGGUUUGCAUCAAUAUUUCUAAAAUCCCUCUUAUUAUCUUGCAUACGUCAAAGUUUGAUAAGGAGGAAGAAGUAUGAAGCUAUUUAUAAUUCAGAAUGACUGUUACCAAAAGGUAUUUAAAACAAAAUCACAGUAAGUCAGAGUUUACUUUUAAAUCAGCUUAAACAAAAGACACAGUUUGAAAACAAUUAGUAAAUCUGACAAAAUUAACUUUGACCUUACAAUUUUAUAAAUGCCAACAAAACUUUUCUUCCAGUGUCAGUGUGCAUGUGUAUCUGUGUGUGGAUUUUUGUCAUUGCAGUAAUUUCACAGCAAAGAUAUGUACUGUCAUUUAACUCUUGGGCAAGAGUUAUGCUUCGCUGCUCAGGAGUUCCCCUUUGAGGGACGUGCUAUUUCAUUGCUCUGUUAUGCUGGAGAUCCAUCUGUACAGACAAGUCACAUUAGCAUUUCAUUAUUCUCAUUAUUUCUAAGGAGACCUCCUCUGCCAGCCCAGACUUUCAGUCAUCCACACUCUUUGGCUCACAAAGGAGGGUCUUAGAUUUCUCCUUAAUUUCUCUUAGCCUUCCUCAAAAACAAGUAAAUAAUCCAAAAAAGAAACAAACAAGAUAAAUAAACAAAACCAAACAAACAAGCAAACAAACAAAAAAAAAACAAACACCCAAAACACACAACUAAACCAAACAAGCAACCAUACACACACAGACAAAAAAAGGGAAAUGUAAACUCCCUACCUUCCAGCCUGCCUAAGAAAGUCUUUAAUAUAUCAGUGAACACACAAAAGAUGUGCUGGUGAAUGUGUCAUUUUGCUAAGCCAGGAGCUGGAAUUUACCAGUCCGGGUGUUGGCAACUUCUUGCCAGCCAGUGUCUGUAUUUGCCUGUUCUUGCCCAGACCAUUCACAGGCUUACCUUGUGAGAGAAGUUUGCACUUCUCCUUCUAGAAGGAGAAAGUCUUUUCUGUGGUCUGAGCAGACUUGAGAAUCAUGGACUGUGUCAUGUCCAAGCCAUCUUUGAGUGGCAGGAUGGGACCAGAGCCCUCCUUGAUGUCCUUUCCUUUUCUUUCCUUUCCGAAUGAUCCCAUGGUGUCCUCCUAGCCACCUUGUCCCCUUCCGUUAGGCUGGCAGAGCUGAGGGGACAGGUGGGAAGACUCUUUUGGGCUUCAAGGUUAGGGGAUCCUCAGAGUCAUCUUCCUCAGCAGUCCGAUUGGUGAUGCCUAUAUCUGCUGAUAUAGGCUGGAAACAAAGUGGAAACAAAGAGGAAACAAAGUGUUCAGAUUUGUCUCUCUAGGGUCAAGAUCUGAAAAUGUGGUCCCAAGAUGAUCUGGUCUAUCUUUGUUUUCUCAUGUUGAAUUUUUGUCUUGUUCAGCCACCAGUCAGCAAUAUUAAAUAACUUGCUGACAUUUGGGGGUCUGUUAACUACAAGAUGACAAAUGUUUUUCUUUCUGUGUUUCUGUGCUGCUAUUUAUGUGAUACUGGGUCUGUUUCAAGUUCAAGGACUGGGUCCAUGCCCUGGUGGCUUGUUUCCUGGUUGUGAUGGCAAAGCCUGGGCAAGAUCAGUCCCAUUCUUGUACUGUGCCCUCUUUGUGACAGUUUUCACAGUGAGGAGACAAGCCAGAGGGAAACCAAAAUGAACUCCCCAGAUGAUGAGCUGGACAUUGAGGGUCCAGGGAUAAGGAACCCUACUCCUGCAGUGGCCCAUUCCAACACACAGGUUUUGCCAAGGCCCAAAAGCUAUGCUUGAAGUAUCGAGGCUUGCUCUUGCUGUCAUAGAUCAGCUGUUGCUGCUGAGCUUCUGCUAUAGAAACAUGACUUCUUCCAUUUUGCCUUCUCAUCAUCAUAGUUUCUUGCAAAUUCCCAGACAGACUUAAUUAAUACUUCUUUUCACAGGCAGUCAGAAAUAUUUAGAUGCUCAAUGGAGCAUCAUAUCCCCUUGGUGCUCUCUCAGACAGAACUAUAUGACAUAAUACCUUCUCUUAGUAAUUUUUUACUGAGAUAAUACAGACUUAAAUUCAUUUUUAUUUUUUUUCCUAAUGUAGAGGAACACACACCCACUUUCCUAAAUUAUUACAUAUAUACCCCUUCUUUCCACACUGAAGCAUACCAGACAUCUGCCAGCUUACCUGUCUGCCAUCUUUCCCUAGACAUCUUUUUCAGCCUGCUCAUAACAUUUUGAAACAUAUUCCCUAGCCAUCACCCCUCCCAGGACAUGGUAGUGAUAUUGCCAUGAAGUUUUCUAGACUUAGUUUGUCCAUUACUGGCUAAAAUUAAACACUGUAGCUCUAGGCCUUAUUUUGAGAACUUAAUUUUUCAAUACAUCAUGCAAUUCAUUCAACCCAUUGAACAAGCUACCAACUUUGUUUUCUAAUUGCUUAGAAAGAGCCCCAUUUAUAAAUGUUGAUUUAGUCCCGCUGGUAAUUGUUUUCCUGAUCCCUUUAGAUAAAAAGUGGUCUUUCAUGUAGGUUUUAGAAAAAUAUGAAGUGCAGGCUCUUCUGAAGUCUAUUAAUCAAUUUAAAGAUUAACCUAUCAAUUUAAAAUGAAUUUUACCCAUAUUUCUGUCCCAAACUACAUUUAUCUGUGUACUAAGGAGAGCUUACAAAUGUUUUUGUUGAAAAGUACUAUCCUUGUUAGCUCUCUUUAUAUCUUAAAGAGGCAGCUCCAGAACAUGGGCUUUCAUUAAAAUAAAUAAAUAAAUAAAUAAAAAGGUCACCCUCUGUGGCACUAAAAAUUAUUUUGAGGACCUGAACCAAAGUAUGAUGGCUUGCCUUCCAUAGCCUGGAGACAGCGUAAAACUAUAGCCAUGCUGUGUGAACCACUUCAUUCAUCUCAGUUUUUGCACUGACUUUCCCGUUUGUUAUUUAUUUACAUGUUAUAGGCCAGAAUCUCUGCUGUGCCAGAGCUCCACUCAGUUUGGGGAUGGGUCAUAAGGAAGUCAUUACAGCUCCCUGGCCUCCGCACGAUUUCUCCUGGUUGCCAGGCAGCCCUGUGUUAGAGCUCUUGUGCAAGGCUCUUAAUGGUACAUUAACUUCAAUGUGACUUCAGGAUACACCAAAACCUUGGCACAUGCUUCUCUUCCUGGCAUAUACAAUCCUUAAGGAAAGUAGCCUGAUUUUGGAAAGAUACUGACAAUUAACUUUCUUGGGUCUGCAUGGGACAUGAUACAGUAAAAAUUAGGCCAUUUAUGAUGAAAAAAGAUAAUCCAAAUACAGCUUCAGCAUUAUAUGCAAUCAUCUGUGAUGGAAAAUAGUUCAUAACUCUGUUCAAUGCUUGGCACAACAGAGCUGAAGGCUUUCAGGAACUUCUGAAACAUAAAUACUACUUGUAAAGAGAUGGCAUUGGAAGAUGUUUCCCAAGAUAAAAAGGUUAAAUAGUAGGAUGGAAACCAUUGUUGGAAACCCUUUUGGCCUCCCUGGUGCUCAGUAGCCUUUAACAGCACCACUGCCCAGGCUUUUCCCAUACAGCUGUGCUACACGAGAAGAGCCUGGAGAUCAGCCCCUCCAUCCUGAUCUCAUCCCACCCACUUUGGGCACUCAGAGAGUUGCCUGGUGAGGAUGGCCAGCAUGGGCUCCUCCUGUAGACAGAGGAGAAACAUAUCUCCAAAGGGUGAUUCUGGCCACUUAAGAUCAUCACCUACUUUAAAGGGAGCUGAGAACAGCCUGGAUCCUAACAUAUGGGCUGCUGUGAAGUGUCUAAGGUUAAGUGAAGUGGGCUUUUUAACUAUUUAUCUCCACGUCUGAAUACACUGAAGACUGUUAUGGAAAGAUAAUGAUGUGUCUCCACUAAGGGCUUCCUUUGCAAGCUGUUUAACUGAACUGUUUAUUGAAUUGAUUGUUUAUUAUUCCAUGAAUAUUCAAUUAUUUUUGCAAUGUUCCUGUUCAGUGACAGGACCUAACUGACAGGGAACUGCUGCCCCAGAGGACGAAAAUCAGGAGUUCCCACUCAUCCUCAGGGCCCAUGGUGAGUCUUAAUUUUUGAUAUUUUUGUUGUUGUUGUUAUUUGGUCACAGCACAAUUCCUCUGGCUGGAAUUGCUCAGUCCAACUGUAGGCAGAACUGCAGUGCCUCCUCAAGCACCCCUGUGCACAAAGCUAGUGCAGAAGCCACACCUGGAGCCUCAUUUUCAGCUGUUUGAACCAAAACUUGUCAUUUCUGUUAAUGUAAAUCCAGAAAGAUUUGCAACAGCCAGCUUCCACUGGUUUUUACAACACACUGAAACAGGCACGUGGUGGGUAAUGUCUCAUUCAUCAUGCAGCACUGGAGCUGGUUCUUGGUGACUUUUUAUUUACACCAGAGGGCUGACCUUGACAGAUGGACUAAUGAUUUUGCUGGGGCCAGGGAAUUUGGGGUGGCAGUGGUCUGUGAGACUCCCCUGCUAUCUGGUGAGCUGAGUGAAGACAAGAGGAGAUACCUCUUUGCUUGGCGGGGCCCAUGCUGUCACAAAACAUGUGUGAGGCUAGUAGCUUGGGGUGGUGUCCCCCAGUUAAACUCAGCUUAAAACAAGCCAAGUUACAGGGUAAUGGGGUAAUUGACUUGCAUGAAGAUAAACAGACACACUUGCACACCCAUAUGCACAUAUACAUAGCAUUCCCCACCAUCCUCAUUUAUUCAGAAAGCCCUGCUAAAAUGCUAACACUUAUCUCACAACCUGUUACAAGGUACAAGCAUAAGGGAACCUACCUCAAUUUUCACAGUCAGCCUUACUUGUAACAUAUUUCCUACUUUUCAACUGCUUGAUACCAUAACAAAUUUACAAGCUUUUUUUAUAGCUUUUUAUAAAGUUCAAGUAGGUAGGCAUUCCUAAUUAAAAUUACAAAACCCCUGAAAUACCGCAUUGAGACCAAUAGAGUUUGACAUGUGUAUGUGCUUGGUUUUCGGAGACUACUGUCUCUUGUGUGUACUUUAGUUGUUUGUGUUAACAGAGGAACAAACAAAACUUGUUGCCCUUUCUUUUCCUUGUGAACCACUAUCAGACGAGGGUGAGACAAGUGCCCUGCAAGUGGGUCUCAGAAAUAUUUAUUUAAGCCAGUAGAACAGUAAGUCUUGGGAUGCUUGGGUUCCACCUCAGCUUCUGAAGUCCUCUCCUCUGCUGCUUCUCUUCUGCUAGACCCUCUCAUUUCUCCAGUACAUAUCUGCUUCCUCUUCUCAGUAUUAUUCUGCAUGCUUGCCCUGUCCAGAUCUCUCAGACCUUCCUUUCUCUUCCCACUUUUGUUGCUUAAAUAAUCCUUGUGCACUGCCUCAGACAGUUCCCCCACAUCCUCAAUGAAAUUUCUGUCUGAGUCACAGGCUACUUUUCCAAGCGCUUCCCCAGUCUUCCUGAGAUGUUGAGGGUCCAAGAUACAGCAUGCCAGCUGGAUCCCAAAUGCAGCUAAAGUCACAACAGACAUGGAGCAUCAUUGCAAGGCAAGGUCUGUCCUGGUACUACUGGGCAAGCUGCUUGUGUAAGCUGGGCUGUGUGGAACAGUUUUGGUGCAUCCAUGGCUUGUGAAGAGAUCCAGAAUACUAGUGAGAAUGGAUUCAUAGAAAAUUUUAGCUGUUAAAAUCAAAACCUUAAUUCAUUGCACUCAGUCUGAUUUUUCAAAGCAAUAUAAUCCUGUUAGAUUUGAAUCAAAAGAGAAAGUGGUAGACACUUGACCAGCACAAAGGAUCCCAUCCCUGCCAAGUCUCAAGUGCCUCCUGGAAAGCGCAGGGCAUUUGGAAAAGAGGCUGCCAACAUUAAAUAAAUAAAUAAAUAAAUAAAAUAUAUUCCCCCCCCCUCCCCCCCAGCUCCUGGCUCAGAAAUGGCUGAAGUAUUUUGCUCCAUUAAACAAAUAAUAAUCAGCUUGAGGCAUGGAAAAUAACAGUACAGCCAGUUAAAGUCCAACAAAGCUUUGAGGAGCCAGAGCCAGAGAUCGCAGAAACUUUCAGGGGAGGCACAGAGCAUCACCUCUGAUAACAGCAAUGCUGCCCUACGGCCAGCAAGCAGGCAGGCUGUUUCCACAGGGGACAUUAGCUUCCAGGAUUGUCUCAGUGUAGGUGCUUGCCUGCUGCUGGGCAGUGACGAGCAGCAUUGUGUCAGUGCGUGCCAUGGGGGGAUUGGUCAGGGCACUCUGCAGAGCGGUGUGCAGAUGGCUUCUCUUCUUCCUCAUGUUUCCUCACCCAGUAGACUUGAGGAGAUUUUAUCAAUGGCAGUUCAGAGAGAAGGAACUACAUGCUCUUGGUCUGGCUCAGAAGGACAGUAAGGUACGAGAGGAUUUAAGCAUCCUACUGCUUUAGGGAGGAAGUCAAAAUGUUGUUGAGUGACAAGUACAGUAUAAAAAGUGUAUCUCAACCUGGGAUGAAAUUUAGCACCAUGUCAGAGGCAACGUGCUCAAGCUGUCUCAUAUCUUCACAUAGUAAUGCAGAACUUGUGUUCAGGUGCUUCCACCUUAUUUUCACCACCUCACUUGGAUGCCUAUUUCUACAGUCAAUGGAGAGAUGUGGGCAUCUCCAGUGGGUGGUUCAGCCCAGCUCAGACAAGCAAACAAGCUAAUCCCUAAAUCCAGCACAGGCAGCCCUGCCUUACCUCCCACAGAGACCCGAGACAAGAAUGCAAAAGUGGUUCCCAGGCAUAGUCUUCCUGAAGGAGGCAUUUGUACCUAGAAGAGCUCCUGCUCUAAAAGGUGUGCUAGUCCCCACCAGCACAGGCACCACUGAUCAUACGAGUCCCUCCUGGCUGAGUGAUCCUGCAGGAAUCAUUAAUAUUUUUGAAGAACUGGUUCCUAAGGUGGGGGAGAAACACAUUUGUUGCCUGGGGUGGCUCUUAGAUUGUAAAUCAUAUGGCAAUCCCACAUAAAUACCUUAGAGAGCUUUUAAUGAACUGCGUCCCAUAGGUGAAAGCCAACAGCAAUAUUAGAAAUGGUGUUUAUUUUAUAGCCUAGAAACUGCAUUUUAAAUGCUAGUAUAGGUUUAUAUGACAGUUCUAUUAAAUAUAAAAUAGACCCAUUACAAAGAAAGCCCUUUACAUCUGCUUUUAUCUGUGUCUAAAUGGUAUGCCCAGCUCUGCAAUUUCUCAAAUGAGACAUUUUUAGAACUUUAUUUAUGUUACAGCCAUAACAAACUAGCAACUAGAAAACUAUAAUGGGCACAAACGGCUAAUAAAAAUGAGAUUGUUGAAAAAUACUUCUUAAUAGCAAUUUACAAAGGAUCCUGAUAAAACAGAACUGAGGCUCUGUUUCCCUGGACGUUUGCCACCACUGUAAUCACAGCCAUUUGGCAACAGGUACUCCCCCUCUUCCAUCUUCUGUGACCAUUUCCCUCUGAGUGUGCUGAAAGCCAAGUACCCUGAGGUUAUUCCCCACCCUGCCAUUAGUCUGUUGGUGCCUACUGAUCCAGAGACACAGUGCAACGAUUCCCCUUUUCUCCCCUCGCACCAUGCACCAUGCAUUAGGUGACCUGACAGAGGAGGCAUCCCAAAGGCUUUGUUGUGUGCUGAGAGGGGAGCAGGGCAACAAGCCAGGAUCUGUCUCACACGUGCAGAGGGUGCCCCCUUUCCUACUGAAACCUGCAUCACCUCCCUGAUGAACUGAUCUGUUUAUACAAGCUGGCUAAGAUGAGCAGGUCAAACUUUCUGUUUAUAGACGGAAAACUAUUUUUCCCCAAGCUCCCCAGGCAAAAGGUUGGGGGCUGAACUGAUUUCUUUUGCAGGACAAAUUUUGUGGGAUUCUGACAAUGUCCAUGUGGCUGCUCGUGUGACGUCAGGGAGAAACUUCCUACCACCCAAGGAAAAGAUGCCUUCUUCCAGAUGCAGACUUGUCUGCAGCAGACAUACUGGCUAGCCAAGGAAGGAAAGGGCAAGGCAACACUUUCAAGUAAAGAUCAAAGUCCUCAGUCAAAUCUAAUUGCAGGUAGUGAUGAAUAUCAUUGAAUACAAACUAAUGUCUUAACCAGUACAACAUCAUACCUACUUAAAGAAGAAAAGUUCUCAUUAAUGAGUUUUCAUAUUUCCAUGAAGGGAAUAAAAAAUAAAAAAUAAAAUAAAUAAAUAAAAAAAAAAAAGUUGUAGGGAAAAAACGGAAUAGUAAAGAAUCAAAAGAAACAGUUUCUAGCAAAGGGCUGAAAGCGCUGAACAUUGCAUUGGAAAAAAAAAAGUGAUACAUCAUAACACACUUACAAUCUGUCCUGGAAGUUGGGUGUUCAUGACCCUGCUUAGGCUUGUAUAGUAGGAGAUAAUCCAAGCUCCAUGCACAGUAAUAUUUAAAUCAAUGUGGGAAGCCACUCACCCAGUGUCCCCCAAGGAAGCUGCCAGAAGCAGUAGAAAUAACACCUACAUGCCAGGAAUCUCAGCCCAGCUCCCUUUUGGACCCAUAGCUUUCUUCAGUCAUUCACUCUAACUCAUUCAUUAUGCUUGCUUCUAUUUGCAAUGAAGACUAUACAUUAUGUCCUAAAACAUUCUUCUCUUACCCCAAAUAGAUUCAACUGUAUAGUCUGAAAUAUCUGAAACCGAAAUUAAUUGCAAAAUAGAGCAUACAGAGGUAUGAAAAGAGCUUUGUCAGUACAGGUACUGGUGCACAUACAGGUACAUAUUCAGAUUCAGGUAUAAAUGCAGAAUGAUAGCUGUUUUGUACACUGUGAGGCUGUAGCAUUGCUGGGAUUUGCAAAAGCUCAAUUCGUGGCAGCUUUGUGGCUGUCAGCAUAAAAAGUUAGGCUUCAGAUAGACUACUGUUGGCUUUUUCACUGAAAAUUAAACAUUUGGGCAAAAACUUUCCAAGCAAAAGGAAAUAAAAAAGCAUAAAAGUAUGCCUAUUAAACUCCAAACAAAAUCACAGCAGCAAAAAUGGCAGGAACUACAGAAGCGGCAUCUGUUUAGAGCUGGGCUAAUCACAGCAUGUAGAUUGGCCAGGCCUGUGGAUAACAGGGUUUCCACUCUGAAGGCAGAAAAACCUUUCUUCUUUCCUUGUUUUCAUUCUGAGAGGACCAAGGAAGAUAAGUAUUUCCCCUGAAAAAAAUUUUUGCUAAUGUGAAUAUUAGUAUAAAAUCACAGCCUGUUAACUGAUACAGUGACAUAGGACUCUAGUUUAUUUGAAUUGGUCCUCAGGGAGUUAGCUAAACAGAAAGAGUAAGCAAAAUUUGGGUUGCUUUAUUCUCAGGAGUAGUCAAUAAGAAUACUUGUGUGAGCAAGACAAGUAAGAUCUGACCCAAAGAAAAUACAUUUGGCAAAUUCAUGUAAACCGGAAAGUCAGUAGCAGCUAUUGAGAAAUCAUAGUCAUAUUUUUAAGUUGUCCUGCUGAGGACUGCCUUUAACCACAUAUCCCCUCCCCUUUCUCUCUCCCCCUUCUCUCAGACUUUUGUCCCAAGUGCUUAAUUGUGAGUAAAAUAUUUGUACUGGGAAGACAUCAAAGGCACUGAUUUUAGAAAUUCAAUUUUAUAUAAUGCAAGACCCCUGAACUUUAGCAAAAGUUCAUUUCAUCAACUAUCACUAAUCAUCUGUGAGUCUGGUGCUCUACCAACUAAAAUAUAGUAUUAUGAAUAAUGGAUUUUCCCCACAUUUGAAGUGUAAGAAUAAUUACAAAUAUGAAUAAAAGCAGGGAUAACGCUUCGCAUGAAUCUUUUUUUCUGAUUUGGCAGUGAAAUGCUGAAGCAACCCAACACUUUUGCUUUAAAAAGCACAUAACCUGUAAAGACAAAAAGUGUAAAACAAGUACUCAGUGAAGGGUUUGAUUUUUUUUUUUCACAUUCGUUCUAGCUAUUAUUUCUUUUUAUCUUCAUCCAUCUCUUUCAAAUCAUGGCAUUAGAAAAUGCAGAAUGCUUGCUAGCAAACAUGAAAGGCCCUCCACUUUUCCACUCCUACCUAUCCUACCUACUCCUACCACUCCUACCUGGUUCAUUUAUAGAAUGAGUCUUUGGUGUAAUAAUGAUACUUGUGCCUUUACCUGAAGCUGAGUGAUUAGAAGAUGGGAGGUUCACCCUAAGCUGGGAUCUGCUGCAUUCCUGCUGCCUCUAGUGAUGCGAAACAGCCACUCAGUGGUAGGGAAAGGAGAUGCUCUUGGAAACAUCCAUCCCUGACACAAGAGAGCUUUCCUCCUUCUUCCCCGCAGAUGAAACAGAGAUAUUAUCAUGUUUUGCAAAUGCCAAGCAUACAUACAGAGCACAAUCCUUUGCUGCAUGAUAAAAAUUCAUUUAGGACAAGAAUAGCCAGGGCCAACAUCUCUCAAAUUAGACAGAAUGCGGACCAGUGAAAGAAAUUUAAAACUAAUAGGGACGUAUUAAGGAAAGGAUGGUUACACAAGACUUCUGAAAAAAAGAAUGUAGUAAUUUAACAUGUAACUUUGAUCAGAUGCUGAAGUUAUAUUUUCUGUCUGUAAAGAGAUCUUUCUUGGAUGAUAUAAAUAAGGAAAAUCAGUAGUACAAGAAGAAAAAUGAGUCAAUACUGCAGAAAAGAACGCAGUUCUCAUCUGCAACAAACUGGUUUUGAAAUGAAAACAAAUCAACUACUCCCACAGAUAUAAAGGUAAAAAGGUUUUAUCUGCAGUAAAAGCAAAGGCACACUCCUGUAUCUCUUGGAGGUAUCGCUUGCACAUCAGAAAUGAAUGUUAAAAUGAGGUACGACCCAUUCUGUGCGAUGAUGUCUAAGAGUUCUGAAGGAACUGGUCCCUGAUUACAUUGAUUCUCUCAUAUACAUUUUCUGAUCUCUCUAAUUGUAUAAAUUAGUAUUUUACCAUCAACCUCAGUUAGAGAGAAUAAAACUCCUGAGAAUGAAAAACUGCAAGAAGAAAAUUGCAUGCUGCAUUCAUCCCUCAAAUUAGAAUUGCAUUGAUAUUGUUUUUCUGAUCAGCUCUGAAGUGUGUAUUUGAUUAUCUUCUACAAAUUCAGAGAUCUAUGUUAUAAAAUUCCAAUUCAAAGUGAUACAUGUGAGCCAGAGAUUUUGUGUUGACAUUCAUAGUUUUUUUUUUUUUUUUUUUUUAAGUAAUUCUUUUCCAUUCUGCAGAUAUGCAUGUGUCAUAUGCACUUUUUUUUCUUCAAUGAUUUACAAUUCACAGACCCCUGAAAGUUUUCCCAUGGAAGUAUGGAUACCUGCAAGGACAACUAAAUUUGUUCUUAUUUGGGAACAGUUUUGUUUUCCUGAGAUACCUUUUGCAGAUCAUUCAGUGUUUUUCUUCCCUAUAAAUCUUCAAGUAUUUUCCAACUUCAUAUUGAAAUUGACGUCUCACACUGAUAAUAAACAAGCCUCAAAAUAUUUAGGUUGCAUUUAUUUAAGCACCACAAGUCUGAAUACAUUCCAGAAUCUUUUGUGUCUGAAGAAUUUCUGAAGAAAAAUGUCAUCUCUUUUUUAAUUGGUUAACAAACACUAGAGAAAUUUUUACCUGACUUCUUUUUCUUUACUAUAAAACAGAGUAAAAAUUAAUUCAUCACUUGCAGAUCAUGGAAAAUUAAGGAGGCUGAGUCUUCCACUUUAGAAUGACUUCCAGUCAUUUUAUUUUUAGAAACUAGAACUGGAAUAAGAAGAAUAUUAUCAAAUGUAUACAGCAAUUUAGAGAAAAUCUCCUCCCCUAUUUAAACUUUUUGAAAAGUGCUAGACAUGUAGAUCUUUUAGGUUAAUCAGUAAAAGGAUUCAAGAUUAAUCCAGACAAUUCUCAGAUUUAUUUUCAAAAAUAAGAAUGAGCAGAUUGGAGGGAAUUCUAUUCCAAACACUUAGGAGGAUACCAGUUUUAGCCAGUGAAAGUGUUACAGAACGAAAAAGGUAAGUGAGCAACUGAAACUGCACUUAUAUUGAAAAUGUAUAAACACAUAUUGCAUUUAUACAGUCCACUGACUUUUGUCCUAGAAGAUUAUGGCUUAUAUAAGGUCAGGAAGAGUUUAUUAGAGGAAGAAGUAAUGUCGCCUAGAAAGAUCAAAUCACUUGACCUGGUAGCACAUCUAUGCAGCUGAGACUAGACUUCAGCUCUUCUCAUUCAAGGCACUGUUUCUUAACUCCUAGGUUAUACUGCAUGGGUACAUUAGUUAUAUUGAGAUACCAUAAUGAAAUGAAAUCGCAAAAGCUGAGCUGUGAGGAUGUGUGGUUAAUUCCUAAAAUCAGCUUGGUUGAAAGAUCUGACAUUCUUGCAGAAACGUGAAUAAAUUUUCUUCCAGGUGUCUGGUAGCAGUCUUCCUUUUCUGGGUGUGAGGAGGAACAGUCUUACUAUAUUUUGAAAAUUCCAUCUGUUUCCUGUUGGCUUUAUAGCUGACACCCAUAAUACUGAAUUGUUUGGCUAGAUAUAAUUUGAGAACCAGAAGAAUCCUUGCUGCUUCAUGCUUCCAUGAGCUUUACCUCUGUCUAAACCUCUUGUGACUUUCACAUGAUUCAACUGGAUGUCCCACCACAAUCCCUGCUGGACAAUUUUGUCACUGGAUCACACUCACAGCCUGGCAGGCAUCUCCAUCUUCUAAACACAACUUCACUAACAGUUGAAAACAAAACAAAAGAAAAUUUAAAAAAGGGGAAAAAAGCCUAGCUGGGAAAGCUACUAAAGAUCCUGUCACCCUUUCUCCUAAAAGAUGCAAGCUAAACCACCCAAUGAUCUGGGAGGAGCUCAUAAGGAAGCCAAAAACCAGUGCAACAAAUCAUGGAAAACAUCUGUGAGUGACUUCAGCUAAAAUACGUGACUGGAGGAUGUUCUGCGUCCCAGAUAUUUCUGAGUUCAACUUUCACCAAAAGCAAGGACCACCACCUCUGCUUCAGUGACUUGAAGCAUCAAGGGUUCACAGCUCAUGCACUGAGUGUCAUUGUCAGCACAUGUAAAGAGGUCCUGUUGUCCUCUGGGCCACUGAGGAAUUUCCUCCUAAUAACAAGUGGCUGCUUUCCUUAAGAGUAUUUUUAGAGAUGCAAAAAGAAUAGUUGAAGGUAAGAUGGCUGUGUACAGAGGAAGAUUAUAUUCCAAUAAUCACUUCAAAGAGAAUGGGGGAGAAGGCAUGUUUCUAAUUUCUAUACAAAAACAAAGGAAGUAAUUUCUUUCAAGGUUUUUUAUUUGUUUUUCAAAUUGCACAGUCCUCAACUUUUAAAAUAAUAAUCAUUCUUGACAGCCAUUUAAUAAUUGUUAGUGAUCUAUAGCUUUUUUAUAAAGUACUCAUCUAAUGAUGUAUUUCCUUUACCCUAAGGGCCAAGUACAAAGCGGAGAAAUUAUCUUGGUGAUACUUUUAAUAACUUCCUGUGGGAUUGCAAACUCUGGCUGAAGCUGUCUCUGCAAAAGAGUUAAUCAUGUAAUUUCACAGAUUAGACAACACAGGGUUACUAAUGAGAAACUUCAGUUCAGUGAUAAACUCUUUUUUUUUUCCAAGAAUAUUUUGAGAGGCCUGUAACCUUUGGCUGACACCCAACGAGGCUAUUAGUUUAACCAUGGGAUGCACUACCAAAUGUACAAGAGUCAGCAGAACUUUUCCUUCUGAAAAUUGCUCAUAAUACUCUGUGAAGAAGCCUUCAAAAACCCAGAAGGGAUAGAUGGAAGGGAAAAAAAAUCAGGCAAAAAGGGGCUGACUUAUCGGCUUCCGAUAAUUGGCAUGGCUUCAGCUUCCCGUUUCUUUUCAACAAUGUACUCUCACUAUAGCAACCCUGGAUCCCAUUUAAAUGUCAUGCUGCCCUCUGUUCUAUAAACAUGUAUCAUCCAUCACUAAAUAUUUAGAUCUGAAUUGUUGGAGCUGAGUUCUGUGCCAGGGGUAAGGGGAUUAAUUCCUUUCAAGGCCCUCACAUGAUGGAUUUUUCACUGAAGUAAACAUCCGAGAAGAGCUCACACUACAGCCAUAAAAUAUAUAAAUAAAGUUUAAAGUUUAAUUAAGUCAA